UACACAGGGGGCUAGAGUUGUUCGGAUUUACUGGCCGUAAAGAGCUUGUAGGCGGGCCGUUAAGUUGGGGGUGAAAUCCCGGAGCUCAACUCCGGAACUGCCUCCAAAACUGGCGGCCUGGACUCAAGCAGAGGCAAGUGGAAUUGCGAGUGUAGAGGUGAAAUUCGUAGAUAUUCGCAGGAACACCAGUGGCGAAGGCGACUUGCUGGGCUUGUAGUGACGCUGAGACGCGAAAGAGUGGGGAGCAAACAGG
rnacentral:rRNA from 1 species